GGGUGCUAUCCUACCUGAGCUUUUACUACUAUCUUCUUUUUUAUAUAUUUUUUUUAAUUUUAUAUUUUUUUUAUUUUAAUCUUCUUGACCUUGUAAGACCUUUUCUUGACCUUGUAAGACCCUUCUUUAUAUUUGUUUAUCUAAAUUUUUAUAUUGUCCUAUGCUCUGUAUCAAAAUUUUUUGAUAUAGAGUUUCAUAUUAGUUUUUUUCUGUUUUUGCCCAACUCAUAUUCUCCUUCCUUGUCUAUCCCUCCAGAGCUGUUUGAAUAAAGCUAUUAUAUCUAUCCUCAAAAUCAUCCUGUUAAAGAGUAUUUAGAAGUCUCUCGAAAUUUAUGUAAGCAACAAAGACUUUUUGUUUUUCUUUGGUUCACGGCAGAGGAAGAAAAAAAAAAUCCUUUGGGCUGUAUUUGAGGCAGAUUUAUAAAAGAGUACUUGAACCACCGGUGAAAACUCUCUUUCCUUUUGUUUACGGUAAAAAUUAAGAAUAAAUUAAAACCCUAGCUUUCUUCUUUACUCAGUUAAAGCCAUCAAUUUAGAUUGUUAUCAUUUGUGCAGAAAUAUGCCGUUGCAGGCAUCAGUUUCGUUGUUUUAUAUGUUGGCUGAGAAAGUGAAUAAGAGAAUAAAUAGUCCCUCAGAUCUCUGUAAAGACGUCCCCUCGUGACUGCUCUUAUGUACAAACGUAUGUCCACUGUAUUAUUGGAGGGUUCCGCCCUCA
rnacentral:misc_RNA from 1 species